AUUUCAUUGUAGUCAAUUCCUCCCUUGGUUAAAACUCUUGGCAAUUAAAGUGGCCUUGAAUCAUAUAUUUCCAUCCUUUAUUUUGUAAAUCCAUUUAUAGUUGAUGAACUUUUGUCCUUUAGUUUUAUCAACUAGAAUCCAGGUCUUCGACUAUUUUACGACUUUGUCUCUUCUUUCGGGUUAUAUUUUCGACUAUUUGCACUUUGAUCCCUGAACACUGAUUUUCUUCCAUUUUAGCUUUUUUCUUUUGUUUUUCUUAAAUUCCACCAUAUUCAUCAAUGUUGUUCAACAAAACAUGCUUUGUAUAGAAUUAAGCUAUAUUCCAAAGUAUUUACCAAUAAUUAUUUAUUUUUUGUGUCAUAAAUAAAAGCGUAAAACACACUUAUCACCCACCCACAACCACUAACAUAACCACCAACCGCACCACCGCCACAACAACCAGAUUUACCGCCACCAUUCAAGAUCCACCAAUGCCACAGCUAAUAAAACCACCCUAACAUCACCAAAACCAUGGAAAGCACCAUCGUGCCAAUAACCAACAAAAACCAAAACAACAAAUAACAAAUUGCAUAUCGUGGCAGUUGCUCAUCUACAAAUCGAUGGCAGUACAACACAACUGAGUGGUGGGUGUUGGUAUGAGGUGGUGUGGCACAAUGCGAUGGUGCGAUGUUGGUCAGGGGGGGUUGGUGUGUGGUAUAGCACAACGUGACGAAAAAUCAGGCAACGAGGAGAGUGGACAGGUUGCCUUCCUACACUUAUCUUACACCAACAAGGAGUCGCUUUGGUUAUGCAGUUCGAUUAGCAAGCAUGUCGCCUUCCUACAUCUACAGGCUCGACGGUGCAAAGGAUGAAAACAGCAGUCACGAAAAGGGGUGGCGGUGUCGUGAAUUGUUGGUAGAGAGAAGAUGGAGAUAUAAAGAAAAAUGUGGAAUUGAUUGAAUUAAGGUUAUGGGGUGGGUGGUUAGAUUAGUUUAAUUUUGUAUUAUAAUUAUUAAUAUUUAAAAUUUUGAUUAUAUCUGAUUUUUGAAAGAAAAAUUUGUAACUCUUAAUUAUGAAUUGAAAUCUUGAAGUGUG
rnacentral:lncRNA from 1 species